UAUUUGAUAUAAAGUGCUAAUCACUUGUAUAAUUGUAUAUAGGUGGAGAAGCCAAGUAGAAGAAGGACAAGCAAAGAAAAUAUGGAGAAGGGUUCGGCCACUAUGAUUUUUGCUUACUACUUAGGAAGUUUUGUUAGGCAUUUAAAGAUUGUCUUUAAACUUUCUUAUUUUGUUAAGAACUAAUUAUAUGGCUUCAUUUGAUGGAAGGCCACUAUUAGUGCCUAAAUGUAUAAAGGCAUUUAUAUUAGUCUCUAAAUGUAUAGAGUUAAUACCUUUUGUAUUAAACAUUAUGAAUGUUUGAACUAUCAUAUUAAUGUAAUGUGAAGUAUGCCUUUUUAAUAUACUAUUUCCUUAAAGUAGUGUUAUGAAUUGAAAAUUGUCUUGUUGUAUCCUAGAUGAGAUACAAGAGUUAUGUCACUCAAUUGUAAUGUGAUAAACCAAACUUUAGAUUUAUCAAUUAUGGAUAGAUCUCACAUGUAGGACAUAAAAGGAUACAAUGAAUCUUUAGAUUUGGUUCCAUUUGUCUACUUAUGAGUUCUAUAUGAAUUGACAAAAGUCUAGAGAAUCCUUUCUUGAUGAAAAGGAAGAUCACAUUAUAAUGAUAUAAGUAAUAAGAAAAACGUUUCUUAUAUGGUUAUCACUUGAAACACAAUGAUCAAGAUCACUCUUGAUUCAAUUAGUAGUUUUUGAACAACUAAUUGGGCAUUCUUCAAAGGUUUUAAAAUGUCAAUUGUGUUAGUAAUUAAACCAAGAAAGAAGUGUCUAAAUCUAUAAAAUUGUUUAAAGACUUUAGUCACUUAAUAACAAGACAUUAACUUAGUGAAGAUUGAAACAAAUAAGCUUGAAAUGUUUCAAAGCUACUACACAAUGUCUUCUACCAAUAUAAU
rnacentral:lncRNA from 1 species